rnacentral:rRNA from 1 species
CCCUUAGAUGUUCUGGGCCGCACACGCGCUACACUGAAGGAGGCAGCGUGUACUCCUGGAUCGAAAGAUUUGGGUAACCCGCGAAUCUCCUUCGUGCUAGGGAUUGAGGUUUGCAAUUAUCCUUCAUGAACGAGGAAUUCCCAGUAAGUGCAAGUCAUAAGCUUGCGCUGACUACGUCCCUGCCCUUUGUACACACCGCCCGUCGCUACUACCGAUUGAAUGGUCCGGUGAAAAUUUCGGAUACCGGCAUUGCUGGCGGUUCGCCGCCGGCGACGCUGGUAGAAGAUCUUUAAACCUUAUCAUUUAGAGGAAGGAGAAGUCGUAACA